rnacentral:rRNA from 1 species
UACGGAGGGUGCAAGCGUUGUCCGGAAUCAUUGGGCGUAAAGAGCGUGUAGGCGGCUCGGUAAGUCCGCUGUGAAAGUCCAGGGCUCAACCCUGGAAUGCCGGUGGAAACUGUCGAGCUAGAGUCCGGAAGAGGCGAGUGGAAUUCCUGGUGUAGCGGUGAAAUGCGCAGAUAUCAGGAGGAACACCGAUGGCGAAGGCAGCUCGCUGGGACGGUACUGACGCUGAGACGCGAAAGCGUGGGGAGCAAACAGG